GUGCCUCUCUGGCCUUUGCUUCUCCCACUUCUCUGGCCGAUGGAGCUCCAUUGCAGGUGAUGUCUGCCCCCAACUUGUUGCGGGUAGGAACGGCAGAAAAAAUCUUUGUGGAGUGUCAAGACUGCACAGGAGGAGACAUUCGUGUCGAAAUCAUUGUGAUGAACCAUCCGACUAAAACCACAAGACUGGCAUCCACAGUUGUGACCCUCACUAGUGCAGAAGGUUUCCAGGCACUUGGAGAAAUAACCAUCCCUGUUGGUGUCUUCA